GGGCGUAAAGCGAGCGCAGACGGUUUAUUAAGUCUGAUGUGAAAGCCCGGAGCUCAACUCCGGAAUGGCAUUGGAAACUGGUUAACUUGAGUGCAGUAGAGGUAAGUGGAACUCCAUGUGUAGCGGUGGAAUGCGUAGAUAUAUGGAAGAACACCAGUGGCGAAGGCGGCUUACUGGACUGCAACUGACGUUGAGGCUCGAAAGUGUGGGUAGCAAACAGGAUUAGAUACCCUGGUAGUCCACACCGUAAACGAUGAACACUAGGUGUUAGGAGGUUUCCGCCUCUUAGUGCCGAAGCUAACGCAUUAAGUGUUCCGCCUGGGGAGUACGACCGCAAGGUUGAAACUCAAAGGAAUUGACGGGGACCCGCACAAGCGGUGGAGCAUGUGGUUUAAUUCGAAGCAACGCGAAGAACCUUACCAGGUCUUGACAUCCUUUGAAGCUUUUAGAGAUAGAAGUGUUCUCUUCGGAGACAAAGUGACAGGUGGUGCAUGGUCGUCGUCAGCUCGUGUCGUGAGAUGUUGGGUUAAGUCCCGCAACGAGCGCAACCCUUAUUGUUAGUUGCCAGCAUUCAGAUGGGCACUCUAGCGAGACUGCCGGUGACAAACCGGAGGAAGGCGGGGACGACGUCAGAUCAUCAUGCCCCUUAUGACCUGGGCUACACACGUGCUACAAUGGCGUAUACAACGAGUUGCCAACCCGCGAGGGUGAGCUAAUCUCUUAAAGUACGUCUCAGUUCGGAUUGUAGUCUGCAACUCGACUACAUGAAGUCGGAAUCGCUAGUAAUCGCGGAUCAGCACGCCGCGGUGAAUACGUUCCCGGGUCUUGUACACACCGCCCGUCACACCAUGGGAGUUUGUAAUGCCCAAAGCCGGUGGCCUAACCUUUUAGGAAGGAGCCGUCUAAGGCAGGACAGAUGACUGGGGUGAAGUC
rnacentral:rRNA from 1 species